UACGUAGGGGGCGAGCGUUGUCCGGAUUUACUGGGCGUAAAGGGAGCGUAGGCGGACUUUUAAGUGAGAUGUGAAAUACCCGGGCUCAACUUGGGUGCUGCAUUUCAAACUGGAAGUCUAGAGUGCAGGAGAGGAGAAUGGAAUUCCUAGUGUAGCGGUGAAAUGCGUAGAGAUUAGGAAGAACACCAGUGGCGAAGGCGAUUCUCUGGACGAUAACUGACGCUGAGGCGCGAAAGCGUGGGUAGCAAACAGGAUUAGAUACCCU
rnacentral:rRNA from 1 species